AUUGAACGCUGGCGGCAGGCCUAACACAUGCAAGUCGAACGAGUGGCGGACGGGUGAGUAAUGUCUGGGUAACUGCCUGAUGGAGGGGGAUCACUACUGGAAACGGUAGCUAAUACCGCAUACCAUCGGAUGUGCCCAGAUGGGAUUAGCUAGUAGGUGGGGUAACGGCUCACCUAGGCGACGAUCCCUAGCUGGUCUGAGAGGAUGACCAGCCACGCUGGAACUGAGACACGGUACAGACUCCUACGGGAGGCAGCAGUGGGGAAUAGUGCACAAUGGGCGCAAGGCUGAUGCAGCCAUGCCGCGUGGAUGAAGGAGGCAUUGGUGUUGUAAAGUACUUUCAGCGGGGAGGCGUUACACUAAGAAGAAGCACCGGCUAACUCCGUGCCAGCAGCCGCGGUAAUAC
rnacentral:rRNA from 1 species